rnacentral:tRNA from 1 species
GGCUUCAUAGCUCAGUUGGUUAGAGCAAUUUGCACCGGUAUCGCGAGGUCAUGGGUUCAAACCCCGUUGAAGUCC